UCGCCUCCCUGCCGCUCACUCCCCUACUCGCGGUACCCGUGCCGAUCGCCACUUCCCUCCCCGUUGACGGUACCCGUUCUGGCCGCCGCUUCACUCCCCGCUCUCGGCUCGGCUUGAAAUCAGGUACAGAGGCAAUGAUGCCCUAAAAAUUUCUAUCCUGCCUUUUCUCUCUACAACGAUGGCAUAGUGGCUUGGAUGGCCUAGUAGGCAACCGCCACUGUUAUUGUUGUAGAGGGAGGGGGAAGGAUGGGAGAACAUCAUUCAGAAUCUGAGCCUCUGUUUUAAUUAUGUUGGUUGAUAUACUCUUUGUUGCAUCAUGUAUUUCUUUCUGUCGAUGUGGCUGGUUCGUGUGAGUUCUUCGUCUCAUAUAGCAUUACUCUUAGUAAUGAUGGUCUUGGCCAUGAUGAUUUGCCCUAUAAAAGAUUAUAGAAAUUGGGUGGCGUGGCAACUUUAGUUGCAGCCCUUGAUUCGUGUUUAUACAUGCAAAAGAACAUAGGGGCAAGAUCUGAGCCUUUUUAUUCUUCUUAAACUGAUUGUUUCUUUGCUAUUUCUUGAUAUCUAUCAAGUUUGAUGUAAGCUGCAGAUGGACACCAGAAAAGACAGUCGGGAACGGGAGAGGGAGGCAGAUAGUAGCAUGGACUGGAAUGACAUCGGGGACUUACAACUGUGCACAUUCCCUAUUUGAUGUUUUUUUUUCUUAUCAAAUUAUGGUUUUCACUUGCAAUUCAAAGGAAUAGAGGUGUCCUUGAAUUUGAUUUUGUUCUCCCUUUGAUUUAUGUUUAUUGCCAUGUUACUUGAGUUGCGGAUUUGGAAUCAUCUGAGUGCCUUUCGGUAGUUAACUCAUGGAGUUUUGGAUUGCAAGAUCGUGUAUAAGCAUUGAGUAACUCUCUAUUUCAUCUUUGUAUUCGAUAGUUCUGAGAAUGAACUAGCUAUGGUUGACCUUAUACAAGAAACUGGGAGCUGACAGCAACAUGGACUGGAACUCAGAUACAAGUCCCCGUUUCAUCACUCUUGAAGAGGCACAUGAAGUCACUAAUCUUAUAUAUGAUGAUGUGUAUGCAAAAACAUUAUUUUGCUAGGAAUUAUGAUAAAUGUACUAGAUUUCUCAGGUUUCUCAGGUUUCUCCAGGGGACUGACAAAUUUUCGUAU